GACGUAGGGCGCGAGCGUUGUCCGGAUUUAUUGGGCGUAAAGAGCUCGUGGGCGGCUUGUCGCGUCGAAUGUGAAAACUCGGGGCUCAACUCCGAGCUUGCAUUCGAUACGGGCAGGCUAGAGUUCGGUAGGGGAGACUGGAAUUCCUGGUGUAGCGGUGAAAUGCGCAGAUAUCAGGAGGAACACCGAUGGCGAAGGCAGGUCUCUGGGCCGAUACUGACGCUGAGGAGCGAAAGCGUGGGGAGCGAACAGG
rnacentral:rRNA from 1 species